UGUCCCGAACUGUUCAUCAGUUCCUAAUGGCUUCUGUCUUUCUUUAAGAGAGGAAAAGGGCCGUUAUUCAUCCUUGAAUCACUAGUGCCCAGACUGCCAGGCUCAGCAAAGGCAACGAAUAAAUAAACGAGGCCUGGGAGUGCAGCAUCAUGGUCAGCUUCCCGCAUUUGUGCCAGCUUCCAGCAGAGAGCCAAGAGAGCAUUCUCCCAGCGUGCGCUGCAAGCUCCCACCCACUGACUACACAUUCCUCCUGCACCAAUCCUUGCCUUCCACUGAGGCUUGCUCGGAGAUUCGAGGAACAGUGGCAGUCUCCAGCAGUAUACCAGGCAGCGGAAUGAGCAAAGGAAAAGGUAAAGAUGCCCCUGCCCUGCUGUUCCACGCAGAACUC
rnacentral:lncRNA from 1 species